rnacentral:rRNA from 1 species
UACGGAGGUGGCGAGCGUUGUUCGGAAUCACUGGGCGUAAAGGGCGCGUAGGCGGGGUCGGAAGUCGGGUGUGAAAGCCCCGGGCUCAACCCGGGAACGGCGCCCGAGACUCUGGCUCUUGAGUCCCGGAGAGGCGGGUGGAAUUCCUGGUGUAGCGGUGAAAUGUGUAGAGAUCAGGAGGAACACCGGUGGCGAAGGCGGCAUCCUGGACCGACAUUGACGCUGAGGCGCGAAAGCCAGGGGAGCAAACGGG